CUGGGUAUAAGGUAUACAUGUGGUGUUGGAUGCCGGUUAAAUAGAAUUUGAUGGUGGUGUGUGACAGUUUGAGUUUUAGAUGACAAUAUGAAGCAAAAGCUACCUGCAUGGAAAUGGCAAAAACUGAUCCAAGUCAUGUUCUGACAUGAACCUCUUAUAUAUUUUGAAAGCUCUAUUGUAAGACUGUUUGGUAUUGUCGGACAGGGUUAAACUAGCCAAGGCGUGACUAUGCCUUGCCAAUUCUUUCAGUCCAUUACCAGAUCCUGAAAAUGUGGUGCUGCAGUGGCUGUUGGGGAGGCUGUGGUUAACGUGCCUCUGAAAGCCUGGAAUUCAAAGCGAGACAAUUUGUCGGCUGCAGUAUUAAAGAUCCCUGGUACAUGAGAACACAUCAGCCAGGUCAGUCUUCUCAUGAAUCUCAUUAUUAUCAGAGACUCGGAACGACCUUUGUUUAUGAUGUGGCAGGUAGCUUGGUUGUCGGAGAAAUAGCGUACCGAGCUACCUGCCCAAGACUGACCCCAGACCACAGCUGCUGCAACUAUAGUGUAUAUCUCAAAUAAGGCUGAGGUGCGUGAGAGCCCUUCGAUGUGCUGGACCUCCUCUGGCCAACCAUCCCAAAGCCACUCAUUCCAAAUAUGGCAGCAAAACCUGUUGAUGCUGCUGCAUCCAUCUAAAUGACCGGAGAAUGGACAGACAAUGGAGGCAAGAACAUGCUUCUGCCAUUCCACUGCAACAAGAAUUUGCGCCCCAUAAACAAAUCAGCCACAGCCUGUACAUCCAAGCAGAUAUGGGUAACGUCAUUUGGUAUGAGAGGGAGGAGGCAAAGGAGUCUAGAAAUAAAGGCUCUACCUUGCGGAAUGAUGCGUAUUGCAAAAUUUAACUAUCCCAACAAAGAUUGCAAUUCCUUCCGAUUGCAUGUCCUACUGACCAAAAAGUCGUUGAUGGUUCAUAGUCUGUCAAUUUUGUCUGAGGGGAGGCUCGCUUCCAUGGUUACUGAAUCGAGCAGGAUACCCAAGAAAUUAACUACCAUGUCAGGACCUUCUGUUUUCUUGGGAGAAACUGGCACCCCCAACAUGUGGGAAAAAAACAAGAUGGCCUUGGUCAGAUCACUAGGGGAAGAGGAAUUAUUCUCCACGAACAGAAAGUCGUCCAGAUAAUGUAUAACGGCCUGGCAUCUGCAGUUGUUUACCAGUAGCCAACAUAAG